rnacentral:rRNA from 1 species
GGUUAAGCGACUAAGCGUACACGGUGGAUGCCCUGGCAGUCAGAGGCGAUGAAGGACGUGCUAAUCUGCGAUAAGCGUCGGUAAGGUGAUAUGAACCGUUAUAACCGGCGAUUUCCGAAUGGGGAAACCCAGUGUGAUUCGUCACACUAUCAUUAACUGAAUCCAUAGGUUAAUGAGGCGAACCGGGGGAACUGAAACAUCUAAGUACCCCGAGGAAAAGAAAUCAACCGAGAUUCCCCCAGUAGCGGCGAGCGAACGGGGAGGAGCCCAGAGCCUGAAUCAGUGUGUGUGUUAGUGGAAGCGUCUGGAAAGGCGCGCGAUACAGGGUGACAGCCCCGUACACAAAAAUGCACAUACUGUGAGCUCGAUGAGUAGGGCGGGACACGUGGUAUCCUGUCUGAAUAUGGGGGGACCAUCCUCCAAGGCUAAAUACUCCUGACUGACCGAUAGUGAACCAGUACCGUGAGGGAAAGGCGAAAAGAACCCCGGCGAGGGGAGUGAAAAAGAACCUGAAACCGUGUACGUACAAGCAGUGGGAGCACGCUUCGGCGUGUGACUGCGUACCUUUUGUAUAAUGGGUCAGCGACUUAUAUUCUGUAGCAAGGUUAACCGAAUAGGGGAGCCGAAGGGAAACCGAGUCUUAACUGGGCGUUAAGUUGCAGGGUAUAGACCCGAAACCCGGUGAUCUAGCCAUGGGCAGGUUGAAGGUUGGGUAACACUAACUGGAGGACCGAACCGACUAAUGUUGAAAAAUUAGCGGAUGACUUGUGGCUGGGGGUGAAAGGCCAAUCAAACCGGGAGAUAGCUGGUUCUCCCCGAAAGCUAUUUAGGUAGCGCCUCGUGAAUUCAUCUCCGGGGGUAGAGCACUGUUUCGGCAAGGGGGUCAUCCCGACUUACCAACCCGAUGCAAACUGCGAAUACCGGAGAAUGUUAUCACGGGAGACACACGGCGGGUGCUAACGUCCGUCGUGAAGAGGGAAACAACCCAGACCGCCAGCUAAGGUCCCAAAGUCAUGGUUAAGUGGGAAACGAUGUGGGAAGGCCCAGACAGCCAGGAUGUUGGCUUAGAAGCAGCCAUCAUUUAAAGAAAGCGUAAUAGCUCACUGGUCGAGUCGGCCUGCGCGGAAGAUGUAACGGGGCUAAACCAUGCACCGAAGCUGCGGCAGCGACACUGUGUGUUGUUGGGUAGGGGAGCGUUCUGUAAGCCUGUGAAGGUGUACUGUGAGGUAUGCUGGAGGUAUCAGAAGUGCGAAUGCUGACAUAAGUAACGAUAAAGCGGGUGAAAAGCCCGCUCGCCGGAAGACCAAGGGUUCCUGUCCAACGUUAAUCGGGGCAGGGUGAGUCGACCCCUAAGGCGAGGCCGAAAGGCGUAGUCGAUGGGAAACAGGUUAAUAUUCCUGUACUUGGUGUUACUGCGAAGGGGGGACGGAGAAGGCUAUGUUGGCCGGGCGACGGUUGUCCCGGUUUAAGCGUGUAGGCUGGUUUUCCAGGCAAAUCCGGAAAAUCAAGGCUGAGGCGUGAUGACGAGGCACUACGGUGCUGAAGCAACAAAUGCCCUGCUUCCAGGAAAAGCCUCUAAGCAUCAGGUAACAUCAAAUCGUACCCCAAACCGACACAGGUGGUCAGGUAGAGAAUACCAAGGCGCUUGAGAGAACUCGGGUGAAGGAACUAGGCAAAAUGGUGCCGUAACUUCGGGAGAAGGCACGCUGAUAUGUAGGUGAAGUCCCUUGCGGAUGGAGCUGAAAUCAGUCGAAGAUACCAGCUGGCUGCAACUGUUUAUUAAAAACACAGCACUGUGCAAACACGAAAGUGGACGUAUACGGUGUGACGCCUGCCCGGUGCCGGAAGGUUAAUUGAUGGGGUUAGCGGUAACGCGAAGCUCUUGAUCGAAGCCCCGGUAAACGGCGGCCGUAACUAUAACGGUCCUAAGGUAGCGAAAUUCCUUGUCGGGUAAGUUCCGACCUGCACGAAUGGCGUAAUGAUGGCCAGGCUGUCUCCACCCGAGACUCAGUGAAAUUGAACUCGCUGUGAAGAUGCAGUGUACCCGCGGCAAGACGGAAAGACCCCGUGAACCUUUACUAUAGCUUGACACUGAACAUUGAGCCUUGAUGUGUAGGAUAGGUGGGAGGCUUUGAAGUGUGGACGCCAGUCUGCAUGGAGCCGACCUUGAAAUACCACCCUUUAAUGUUUGAUGUUCUAACGUUGACCCGUGAUCCGGGUUGCGGACAGUGUCUGGUGGGUAGUUUGACUGGGGCGGUCUCCUCCUAAAGAGUAACGGAGGAGCACGAAGGUUGGCUAAUCCUGGUCGGACAUCAGGAGGUUAGUGCAAUGGCAUAAGCCAGCUUGACUGCGAGCGUGACGGCGCGAGCAGGUGCGAAAGCAGGUCAUAGUGAUCCGGUGGUUCUGAAUGGAAGGGCCAUCGCUCAACGGAUAAAAGGUACUCCGGGGAUAACAGGCUGAUACCGCCCAAGAGUUCAUAUCGACGGCGGUGUUUGGCACCUCGAUGUCGGCUCAUCACAUCCUGGGGCUGAAGUAGGUCCCAAGGGUAUGGCUGUUCGCCAUUUAAAGUGGUACGCGAGCUGGGUUUAGAACGUCGUGAGACAGUUCGGUCCCUAUCUGCCGUGGGCGCUGGAGAACUGAGGGGGGCUGCUCCUAGUACGAGAGGACCGGAGUGGACGCAUCACUGGUGUUCGGGUUGUCAUGCCAAUGGCACUGCCCGGUAGCUAAAUGCGGAAGAGAUAAGUGCUGAAAGCAUCUAAGCACGAAACUUGCCCCGAGAUGAGUUCUCCCUGACUCCCUGAGAGUCCUGAAGGAACGUUGAAGACGACGACGUUGAUAGGCCGGGUGUGUAAGCGCAGCGAUGCGUUGAGCUAACCGGUACUAAUGAACCGUGAGGCUUAACCUU